rnacentral:rRNA from 1 species
AGAUUGAACGCUGGCGGCAUGCCUUACACAUGCAAGUCGAACGGCAGCACGGGAGCAAUCCUGGUGGCGAGUGGCGAACGGGUGAGUAAUACAUCGGAACGUGCCCUAAUCGGUGGGGGAUAACGGCAGCGAAAGCUGUGCUAAUACCGCAUAAGAUCUACGGAUGAAAGCAGGGGAUCGCAAGACCUUGCGCGAAUGGAGCGGCCGAUGGCAGAUUAGGUAGUUGGUGAGGUAAAGGCUCACCAAGCCUU